rnacentral:rRNA from 1 species
CCUACGGGAGGCAGCAGUAGGGAAUAUUGCUCAAUGGGGGAAACCCUGAAGCAGCAACGCCGCGUGGAGGAUGAAGGUUUUCGGAUUGUUAACUCCUUUUGUUAGAGAAGAUAAUGACGGUAUCUAACGAAUAAGCACCGGCUAACUCCGUGCCAGCAGCCGCGGUAAUACGGAGGGUGCAAGCGUUACUCGGAAUCACUGGGCGUAAAGAGCGCGUAGGCGGGAUAGCAAGUCAGAUGUGAAAUCCUAUGGCUUAACAAUAGAACUGCAUUUGAAACUGUUAUUCUAGAGUAUGGGAGAGGUAGGUGGAAUUCUUGGUGUAGGGGUAAAAUCCGUAGAGAUCAAGAGGAAUACUCAUUGCGAAGGCGACCUGCUAGAACAUAACUGACGCUGAUGCGCGAAAGCGUGGGGAGCAAACAGGAUUAGAUACCCGAGUAGUC